rnacentral:lncRNA from 1 species
GACCAUUUUCUUGCCUUCGGUGGUAGACUGAUACAGAGUCUCCUCGAAUAGGAUUGCGCCGGAGAUGUACUGUCCGAGUCCCGGUGCAGAGACGAGCAUAGUCCGGAACGCCUGGCGGUUAGCCUCAGUGUUCUCUAGCCCAAUUGAGUCCAAACGCUUCCCGCAAGUCGCGUUGGACUCAUCCAUCGCCAAGAUUCCGCGUCCCGGAGACGCAAUUGUUUUCUACUCCAACCCAAAAUUAAAAGGAAUCAUAUCAAAAUAUAAACCAGACAUCUAAUAAAUGGUAAAGAGAAACACAAAUUCGGUUUGAAUCGGUUCUGAAAUGAAAAGAAAAAAAAAAUAGAAAAAGGAGAAAAACAGAACAAGAGAAUUUAGACAAUUCCAAUAGACAAAAAGUAGAGAAAAGGGACCUUUACGAAUCAUGCAGAUAAAAGAACACGUGGCAAAGAAGAGGAAGUGAACUAACCGCUGUCUUAACAAGCUCAUCAGCGUAGGAGGAAGCAGCGCGGACGGUGAGGGAGGUGGCGCGGUUGCGGAGGACGACGGAGGCGGAAGAAGGCUGACGGAAGAGAACGCUUUGGCCCUUGACCCAUUCCGAUUUGUCCAACACCGGAGAUGCCUUGAGGAGUGAGGUUGAUGCCAUUGGUUUAUCUCUUUUCUCUGCCUUUGGUUAUUUUUUUUCUUAUAAUUUGAGAGACUCAGAGUGAAAGCUUAUGACACCACCUUAUCUU